GCUUUUUAUAUUAGAUGUAAUGUAGAUUAGUCGCUGACAGUUGCCUUUAUCUGAGUACGGAUUUCACUGAGUACCACAAAAGCUUAAAUUAACGGAUAUUAAAUUGUGAGAAAUGCUCUGCGAAGUAACUUCAGCAAUAUUUCGAAAAAAGGUAACAACCAGUUCGCUGUAAUUACUGACCGAUGACCAGAGUAUGAUGUAAAUGGUUUCGACUGGUCUAGGAUUUUUUAUUGAUGACAAUUAGUAGAUAGAUGAGAUAAUAAUUAUGAUAUAAUUAUGUAUAAUAAAGCAAGAAAAUUUG